UACAGAGGUCCCAAGCGUUGUUCGGAAUUACUGGGCGUAAAGGGCUCGUAGGCGGCCAACUAAGUCGGAUGUGAAAUCCCCAGGCUCAACUUGGGAACUGCAUCCGAUACUGGAUGGCUUGAAUCCGGGAGAGGGAUGCAGAAUUCCAGGUGUAGCGGUGAAAUGCGUAGAUAUCUGGAGGAAUACCGGUGGCGAAGGCGGCAUCCUGGACCGGCAUUGACGCUGAUGAGCGAAAGCUAGGGGAGCAAACGGG
rnacentral:rRNA from 1 species